rnacentral:lncRNA from 1 species
UAGUCUCAGGCUUUACACCCAACCAUAGAGUAGCUUUUUCCAUAAUAAAUAAUGGAAAUAGCCUCAGUGUAAUAGCCUCCUAGCUCACUCCAAGAAAAUUAUUUAAAGUGCAGAUCCCCACAAAAUUCAUAAUAUGAAUGUUUGCAUUAUCGUUAAAAAGUCCAGCAAAUACCCCAUUUAAAUUCAAUAUUUGGAUGUAAUGUGAAUACCAAGAUUUGGUUAUUUUUGAAUCAAGAUAUU